rnacentral:rRNA from 1 species
UACAGAGGGGCAAGCGUUAUUCGGAAUUAUUGGGCGUAAAGGGCGCGUAGGCGGCCUGGCAAGUGGAUGGUGAAAUCCCUCGGCUUAACCGAGGAACUGCCAUCCAGACUGCUUGGCUUGAGACCGGGAGAGGUGAGUGGAAUUCCCAGUGUAGCGGUGAAAUGCGUAGAUAUCUGGAGGAACACCGGUGGCGAAGGCGGCAUUCUGGACCGACAUUGACGCUGAGGAGCGAAAGCCAGGGGAGCAAACGGG